UCUCCGUUGGUGAACCAGCGGAGGGAUCAUUACCGAAGUUACCUUCAGAACCCACUGUGAACCUUACCUCUUGCCGCGUUGUCUCGGCGGGAGGCGGGUGGCGUGGCGCGCCCCACCGCGGGCCGCACCGCUCCCCGUCCCCGCCGGCAGCGCCAAACUCUAAAUGCACAGCGGACUGUACGUUCUGAUUUAAAAAAAAACAAGUUAAAACUUUCAACAACGGAUCUCUUGGUUCUG
rnacentral:misc_RNA from 1 species